AGAGUUUGAUCCUGGCUCAGGAUGAACGCUGGCGGCAUGCCUAAUACAUGCAAGUCGAACGAGAGGAAGGAAAGCUUGCUUUCCUAAAUCUAGUGGCGAACGGGUGAGUAACACGUAGGUAACCUGCCCAUGUGCCCGGGAUAACUUCUGGAAACGGAUGCUAAAACCGGAUAGGUAGCAGACAAGCAUUUGACUGCUAUUAAAGUGGCUAAGGCCAUGAACAUGGAUGGACCUGCGGUGCAUUAGCUAGUUGGUGAGGUAACGGCCCACCAAGGCGACGAUGCAUAGCCGGCCUGAGAGGGCGGACGGCCACAUUGGGACUGAGACACGGCCCAAACUCCUACGGGAGGCAGCAGUAGGGAAUUUUCGUCAAUGGGGGGAACCCUGAACGAGCAAUGCCGCGUGAGUGAAGAAGGUCUUCGGAUCGUAAAGCUCUGUUGUAAGAGAAAAACGGCACUCAUAGGGAAUGAUGAGUGAGUGAUGGUAUCUUACCAGAAAGUCACGGCUAACUACGUGCCAGCAGCCGCGGUAAUACGUAGGUGGCGAGCGUUAUCCGGAAUGAUUGGGCGUAAAGGGUGCGUAGGUGGCAGAUCAAGUCUGGAGUAAAAGGUAUGGGCUCAACCCGUACUUGCUCUGGAAACUGAUCAGCUAGAAAAUAGAAGAGGACGGCGGAACUCCAUGUGUAGCGGUAAAAUGCGUAGAUAUAUGGAAGAACACCGGUGGCGAAGGCGGCCGUCUGGUCUGGAUUCUGACACUGAAGCACGAAAGCGUGGGGAGCAAAUAGGAUUAGAUACCCUAGUAGUCCACGCCGUAAACGAUGAGAACAAGUGGUGGGGGGAAUAACUAAGGGCCGCAGUUAACGCAAUA
rnacentral:rRNA from 1 species